AUUGAACGCUGGCGGCAGGCCUAACACAUGCAAGUCGAGCGAGCGGCGCACGGGUGAGUAAUGUAUGGGGACUGCCCGAUAGAGGGGGAUAACUACUGGAAACGGUAGCUACUACCGCAUCCGAUCGAAUAACCCAUAUGGGAUUAGCUAGUAGGUGGGGUAAUGGCUCACCUAGGCGACGAUCCCGAGCUGGUAUGAGAGGAUGAUCAUCCACACUGGGACGGAGACACGGCCCAGACUCCUACGGAGGCAGCAGUGGGGAAUAUUGCACAAUGGGGGCAAGCCUGAUGCAGCCAUGCCGAGUGUAUGAAGAAGGCGCUAGGGUUGUAAAGUACUUUCAGUCGGUAGGCGUUACCGACAGAAGAAGCACCGGCUAACUCCGUGCCAGCAGCCGCGGUAAUAC
rnacentral:rRNA from 1 species